rnacentral:rRNA from 1 species
UAUUAUGGUGUUAUAGGCAUAUUAGAAUCACACCAAUCCAUAUUGAAUUUGGUGGUUAAAUUUUACUGUGGUGACGAUACUGUGGGAGAGAUCCCAUGGAAAAAUAGCUUAAUGCCAUAAU